rnacentral:misc_RNA from 1 species
AAACUGCGAUAAGUAGUGUGAAUUGCAUUUAGUGAAUCAUCGAAUCUUUGAACGCACAUUGCGCCCCCUGGUAUUCCGGGGGGCAUGCCUGUUCGAGCGUCAUUUCACCACUCAAGCCUCGCUUGGUAUUGGGCGACGCGGUCCGCCGCGCGCCUCAAAUCGACCGGCUGGGUCUUUCGUCCCCUCAGCGUUGUGGAAACUAUUCGCUAAAGGGUGCCGCGGGAGGCCACGCCGUAAAACAACCCCAUUUCUAAGGUUGACCUCGGAUCAGGUAGGGAUACCCGCUGAACUUAAGC